rnacentral:rRNA from 1 species
GACGAACGCUGGCGGCGUGCCUAAUACAUGCAAGUUGAGCGAUGAAGAUUGGUGCUUGCACCAAUUUGAAGAGCAGCGAACGGGUGAGUAACGCGUGAGGAAUCUGCCUUUGAGCGGGGGACAACAUUUGGAAACGAAUGCUAAUACCGCAUAACAACUUUAAACAUAAGUUUUAAGUUUGAAAGAUGCAAUUGCAUCACUCAAAGAUGAUCCCGCGUUGUAUUAGCUAGUUGGUGAGGUAAAGGCUCACCAAGGCGAUGAUACAUAGCCGACCUGAGAGGGUGAUCGGCCACAUUGGGACUGAGACACGGCCCAAACUCCUACGGGAGGCAGCAGUAGGGAAUCUUCGGCAAUGGACGAAAGUCUGACCGAGCAACGCCGCGUGAGUGAAGAAGGUUUUCGGAACGUAAAACUCGGUUGGUAGAGAAGAACGUUGGUGAGAGUGGAAAGCUCAUCAAGUGACGGUAACUACCCAGAAAGGGACGGCUAACUACGUG